rnacentral:rRNA from 1 species
GUGGGGAAUCUUGCGCAAUGGGCGAAAGCCUGACGCAGCCAUGCCGCGUGGAUGAUGAAGGUCUUAGGAUUGUAAAAUCCUUUCACCGGUGAAGAUAAUGACUGUAGCCGGAGAAGAAGCCCCGGCUAACUUCGUGCCAGCAGCCGCGGUAAUACGAAGGGGGCUAGCGUUGCUCGGAUUUACUGGGCGUAAAGGGCGCGUAGGCGGACAUUUAAGUCAGGGGUGAAAUCCCGGGGCUCAACCUCGGAACUGCCGUUGAUACUGGGUGUCUUGAGUAUGAGAGAGGUGUGUGGAACUCCGAGUGUAGAGGUGAAAUUCGUAGAUAUUCGGAAGAACACCAGUGGCGAAGGCGACACACUGGCUCAUUACUGACGCUGAGGCGCGAAAGCGUGGGGAGCAAACAGGAUUAGAAACCCCAGUAGUCC